GACGAACGCUGGCGGCGUGCUUAACACAUGCAAGUCGAACGGUAAGGCCCCAGCUUGCUGGGGUACACGAGUGGCGAACGGGUGAGUAACACGUGGGUGACCUGCCCCGCACUUCGGGAUAAGCCUGGGAAACUGGGUCUAAUACCGGAUAGGACCGCACCGUGAGGGUGUGGUGGAAAGUUUUUCGGUGUGGGAUGGGCCCGCGGCCUAUCAGCUUGUUGGUGGGGUAAUGGCCUACCAAGGCGGCGACGGGUAGCCGGCCUGAGAGGGUGGACGGCCACAUUGGGACUGAGACACGGCCCAGACUGCUACGGGAGGCAGCAGUGGGGAAUAUUGCACAAUGGGCGGAAGCCUGAUGCAGCGACGCCGCGUGGGGGAUGACGGCCUUCGGGUUGUAAACUCCUUUCGCCAUCGACGAAGGUUUUCUGACGGUAGAUGAAGAAGAAGCACCGGCUAACUACGUG
rnacentral:rRNA from 1 species